CCCAGGAGGAUGCAGGAGACCACGCAGCACUUCCCAGCAAGGCAGAGGAGGAAGAGCUGGACUCAGGAAAAGAGAAGCUGGCGGUGGGAGAGCCGGCAAGCACAGCAGCUACACCAGCCCCAGUGACAAGUACAGCAGCAUCAACUGAGAGUUCUGAAGGUUUUGAAUGGCCUUUGGGUAUCCUUGGGACCUGCCUGCUGAUUGUGAUGGGGAUCAGCAUGUUGGCACACAUACAGAGUGUGUUCUACCCACAACCAUUUUGUCUGAUCUCAAAAGUUAAGCAGAGUCGGGUUUGGGUCUUGUCUGGGGUUAGACGACGAUAUAGGGUGACCAAGAGAUUUUCCCCAAAGCUGGACAGUCAUGAGUGGCAGGGUGUGUGGGACAGUAUGGGCAAGUAUCUAUAUCUAGUCCACUUGGUCCCUCCAGUGCUUUGGAAGCAUCGGAGAUGGAAGGCAGCUGUAUGGAGUCCCCAACAACAACGGCUAAGAUUGAAGUGGCUCAGAUGGACCUAGAUUGGCAACAUAAGGGUGAAUUAUUUUUGACCCGGUGGGCCCAUGACACUUCAGGCCAUCAGGGCAGAGAUGCAACAUAGAGAUGGGCUUA